CGUUGUGAGCUUCCUCUCCUCUCCCGCUUUCUCCCCGUCUAUUUUUCUCGCGAAACGGCGCACUCCUCAGUGCUGUCCGCGGAGCUCCGGCGAGCUCCAUGGCCGCCGGCCAUGGCGCGUGCCGCGUAGGACCUUCCACAGCCGCGCCAAGUGUUCUAGCGAGUUCGCCUUGCCUCCCUCUUCCUCCCUGUGUGCUCGGUUUGGUCAAUCGUGGCCCGGAGUCCGAGUUCCACGAGCUCCGACGGGGACGUUCAUGGCGCCGCCGUGAACCUUCUCGGAAACCGCCUCCUUGACCGCGUUUUUGGAGUGGAAUGGACUCGCAUCGCUCUCCUCUUUCUCCCAGUUCAAUCGGAAUCGAAAACCGUGCACCGUAGCACCUCCUCCGCUCAACUCCGGCGAGCUCGGGCCGGCCGUCAAUGGUGGCCACCGUGUUUCUGGCCGGAGCUGCCUGUCCGCCGUCCCCUUCCUCUCUCUCUCUUUUUUUUUAUUUUUUUUUUAUUUAUCUUUUAAUCCAGCGCGUUCAAUCUUGAUCCAACGGCCAGAAAUACCUAUUACCCCUUCAUAUGAUAUCUUGUUAAAGAGUCCCCCAAAAUUUUUGUAUUUGCACCGCAGUCCUCGGCCAGAGGAAUUUACAGGAUUUAUUUCGUUUAUUUAAAUUCGUUUAAACUCUGUCUUAUUUACAGAAUUGCCACCGCAUUGUUUUAGCUAUAAAAUCGCCGUUUGAACUCCGAAUCAAUCCGUUCAAGUUGCGUUAGUUUCGUAAUUUUGUAAGCUUCGCGUUGGUACCACUGUUGUUUAGGUUUACCACUGUUAGAUUUCCUAGUUAUUUACAAGUCCGUAGAUUGCUGUUGAAAUCCCGUUAAAAGCGUAACUUUCGCGUCGUAAGUCCGUUUUCCGUGAAUUUCGCGUUGACUUGAGCGUAGCAGCACGUAGAUGAUUUUGGAAAACUUUUAUUUAAUUUAUUUACUGCUGGUGUACUGUUCUAACUUUAGGAAUUGUUCUCUUGCAUGUUUGUCUUGGUAUGCGUGAUGAUUGUGAUGUAUUGAUCGAGCCUAGACGGUGAGGAGUAUUUCGGGAGUCCGGAGCUCUUUGGGGAUCAGCAGGACCAGCAAGACCAGCAGGAGUACGUGAACCAAGGCAAGUAUAGCAUGGGCCUACCUUGUUGUCCUACUUAUUUUUAAGCAUUUCACCCUGCAUGUGUAUAAUAUUGCAAACUAUAAGGACAUCCUAGCUGUUGAUGACAAUUACCUUGUUCCCGAGGGUUUUUAUUGCAUAUGGGUAGAAGUGCUAGUGCUCUAACUCCAAUUAUAUAUGAUCUGAAAUCAGUGAUGGAACCAUGGUUAAUUGAUUAAACAUGAUUAUGAUAAUUGGAACAUAGGGCUAUGGUACAAAUGACUGUUGGUCAUGUUGUCCUAGACCCUCCGUAAGGACUUAUCUGUCGGCAAAAGCUGGGACUUACAGUGCAACCGGGAGAGUCACAUGGCUCUGACUUUAGCUCAGUAAUAGGACCUUUUCUAACUCGUUAGAGGUUACCCGAAAGGGCGCAAGAGGCGCUUGCCACUUUGGGUGUAGGGCUGCCCCUGUUUCUAUGAGUAU
rnacentral:lncRNA from 1 species